AAUUGAACGCUGGCGGCAGGCCUACCUCAUGCAAGUCGAACGGUAGCACAAAGAGCUUGCUCUUGGGUGACGAGUGGCGGACGGGUGAGUAAUGUCUGGAAAACUGCCUGAUGGAGGGGGAUAACUACUGGAAACGGUAGCUAAUACCGCAUAAUGUCCCAAGACCAAAGAGGGGGACCUUCGGGCCUCUUGCCAUCAAAUGUGCCCAGAUGGGAUUAGCUAGUAGGUGGGGUAACGGCUCACCUAGGCAACAAUCCCUAGCUGGUCUGAGAGGAUGACCAGCCACACUGGAACUGAAACACGGUCCAAACUCCUACGGGAGGCAGCAGUGGGGAAUAUCGCACAAUGGGCGCAAGCCUGAUGCAGCCUUGCCGCGUGUAUGAAGAAGGCCUUCGGGUUGUAAAGUACUUUCAGCGGGGAGGAAGGCGAUAAGGUUAAUAACCUUGUCAAUUGACGUUACCCGCAAAAAAAGCACCGGCUAACUCCGUG
rnacentral:rRNA from 1 species